rnacentral:misc_RNA from 1 species
AUUUAAUACUCGUAAUAGGUAUUCAAACAUCCGAUGUGACAGGGCUAAAAUUUAGCCCCGUCCAACCAAACACCCCUUUAGACUAACCUAGAAUUACAGACUUUUGGGGACAGAGGUAGUAGACCCUAAUUGGCUCACAAAUCAAUGAAUAUGUCAUUUCAUAAAAAGCAAUCCUACUGUCGGAGGCUCCCAUAUAAAUGUGGUCUGAGGAAGGGAUAAACCGAGGCAAGCCUUCCUCCACAAAUGCAGAGAAGCUGCUUCAAACCCGUGACAAAGUGAGACCACUAGGCUUGCCCUUCAAAUAUGACAUUGCAGAAACAAAAAAAACCAAACAUCCAAACACCAAGAGAAAGGAAAAAUAACUAUAAAUGGGCACAAAUAUCAUCUGGAGAUGCCUCACCCUCAUUGUACACCACAAAAACUUACAUUAAACGCCUUCUAUUAGCACCUUGGAUGUUGACGGACACCAUUAAACACAAAAUCAUUGUGAUGCUUCCAAAUUCCCCAUAUAUAACUAAAAGGACCAUUGAAUUAUAUCCUUUUUCGAGUGCUUUUUUCUAUCCUCUUGAGAGCCCCACACCUCCAGAUAGAGGGGAUGGAUCUCUUGCUGGCGGUAGUGUAGCAUGGCUUAGAGACAGACCUUUUGGAGAACAUAAAAAAACUUCCUAUGACGCAAGAAACUAUAUACUAUAUGAUAUUUAUAUUUUGCAAAACAACGUUGGAGGGGGGCCUCUACAGACUGCAGCAGCCGCGUGAUGGAGGGGGUGCAGCUGACGCUCGAGCAGACUGGAGAGGGCCACCGGAGCACAGCAGGGUGGCAGGAGAGGAGGGCGAUGGAGAAGGUGCGGCGGACUUGGAGAAGGGUACACACGUGAGCGCGACUAUGCGCUGCGUAAUGUGUGUACCGUAUUGGUACAAGUAGGGCAAAACAAUGUUUGUGAUGUAUAGAUGGUGGGCUGGCCCAUGU